rnacentral:rRNA from 1 species
GGGUUGUGAGGUUAAGCGACUAAGCGUACACGGUGGAUGCCCUGGCAGUCAGAGGCGAUGAAGGACGUGCUAAUCUGCGAUAAGCGUCGGUAAGGUGAUAUGAACCGUUAUAACCGGCGAUUUCCGAAUGGGGAAACCCAGUGUGUUUCGACACACUAUCAUUAACUGAAUCCAUAGGUUAAUGAGGCGAACCGGGGGAACUGAAACAUCUAAGUACCCCGAGGAAAAGAAAUCAACCGAGAUUCCCCCAGUAGCGGCGAGCGAACGGGGAGCAGCCCAGAGCCUGAAUCAGUGUGUGUGUUAGUGGAAGCGUCUGGAAAGGCGUGCGAUACAGGGUGACAGCCCCGUACACAAAAAUGCACAUGCUGUGAGCUCGAUGAGUAGGGCGGGACACGUGGUAUCCUGUCUGAAUAUGGGGGGACCAUCCUCCAAGGCUAAAUACUCCUGACUGACCGAUAGUGAACCAGUACCGUGAGGGAAAGGCGAAAAGAACCCCGGCGAGGGGAGUGAAAAAGAACCUGAAACCGUGUACGUACAAGCAGUGGGAGCACGCUUAGGCGUGUGACUGCGUACCUUUUGUAUAAUGGGUCAGCGACUUAUAUUCUGUAGCAAGGUUAACCGAAUAGGGGAGCCGAAGGGAAACCGAGUCUUAACUGGGCGUUAAGUUGCAGGGUAUAGACCCGAAACCCGGUGAUCUAGCCAUGGGCAGGUUGAAGGUUGGGUAACACUAACUGGAGGACCGAACCGACUAAUGUUGAAAAAUUAGCGGAUGACUUGUGGCUGGGGGUGAAAGGCCAAUCAAACCGGGAGAUAGCUGGUUCUCCCCGAAAGCUAUUUAGGUAGCGCCUCGUGAAUUCAUCUCCGGGGGUAGAGCACUGUUUCGGCAAGGGGGUCAUCCCGACUUACCAACCCGAUGCAAACUGCGAAUACCGGAGAAUGUUAUCACGGGAGACACACGGCGGGUGCUAACGUCCGUCGUGAAGAGGGAAACAACCCAGACCGCCAGCUAAGGUCCCAAAGUCAUGGUUAAGUGGGAAACGAUGUGGGAAGGCCCAGACAGCCAGGAUGUUGGCUUAGAAGCAGCCAUCAUUUAAAGAAAGCGUAAUAGCUCACUGGUCGAGUCGGCCUGCGCGGAAGAUGUAACGGGGCUAAACCAUGCACCGAAGCUGCGGCAGCGACACUAUGUGUUGUUGGGUAGGGGAGCGUUCUGUAAGCCUGUGAAGGUGUACUGUGAGGUAUGCUGGAGGUAUCAGAAGUGCGAAUGCUGACAUAAGUAACGAUAAAGCGGGUGAAAAGCCCGCUCGCCGGAAGACCAAGGGUUCCUGUCCAACGUUAAUCGGGGCAGGGUGAGUCGACCCCUAAGGCGAGGCCGAAAGGCGUAGUCGAUGGGAAACAGGUUAAUAUUCCUGUACUUGGUGUUACUGCGAAGGGGGGACGGAGAAGGCUAUGUUGGCCGGGCGACGGUUGUCCCGGUUUAAGCGUGUAGGCUGGUUUUCCAGGCAAAUCCGGAAAAUCAAGGCUGAGGCGUGAUGACGAGGCACUACGGUGCUGAAGCAACAAAUGCCCUGCUUCCAGGAAAAGCCUCUAAGCAUCAGGUAACAUCAAAUCGUACCCCAAACCGACACAGGUGGUCAGGUAGAGAAUACCAAGGCGCUUGAGAGAACUCGGGUGAAGGAACUAGGCAAAAUGGUGCCGUAACU